ACUGUGAAACUGCGAAUGGCUCAUUAAAUCAGUUAUCGUUUAUUUGAUAGUACCUUACUACUUGGAUAACCGUGGUAAUUCUAGAGCUAAUACAUGCUAAAAACCCCGACUUUUGGAGGGGUGUAUUUAUUAGAUAAAAAACCAAUGCCCUUCGGGGCUCCUUGGUGAUUCAUAAUAACUUAACGAAUCGCAUGGCCUUGUGCCGGCGAUGGUUCAUUCAAAUUUCUGCCCUAUCAACUUUCGAUGGUUAGGUCUUGGCUAACCAUGGUUUCAACGGGUAACGGGGAAUUAGGGUUCUAUUCCGGAGAGUGAGCCUGAGAAACGGCUAACACAUCCAAGGAAGGCAGCAGGCGCGCAAAUUACCCAAUCCCGACACGGGGAGGUAGUGACAAUAAAUACUGAUCCAGGGCUCUUUUGGGUCUUGGAAUUGGAAUGAGUACAAUUUAAAUCCCUUAACGAGGAACAAUUGGAGGGCAAGUCUGGUGCCAGCAGCCGCGGUAAUUCCAGCUCCAAUAGCGUAUAUUAAAGUUGUUGCAGUUAAAAAGCUCGUAGUUGAACCUUGGGUUUGGCUGGUCGGUCCGCCUCACCGCGUGUACUGGUCCGGCCGAAUCUUUCCUUCUGGGGAAUCGCAUGCCCUUCACUGGGUGUGUCGAGGAUCCAGGACUUUUACUUUGAAAAAAUUAGAGUGUUCAAAGCAGGCCUAUGCUCGAAUACAUUAGCAUGGAAUAAUAGAAUAGGACGUGUGGUUCUAUUUUGUUGGUUUCUAGGACCGCCGUAAUGAUUAAUAGGGAUAGUCGGGGGCAUCAGUAUUCAAUUGUCAGAGGUGAAAUUCUUGGAUUUAUUGAAGACUAACUACUGCGAAAGCAUUUGCCAAGGAUGUUUUCAUUAAUCAGUGAACGAAAGUUAGGGGAUCGAAGACGAUCAGAUACCGUCGUAGUCUUAACCAUAAACUAUGCCGACUAGGGAUCGGGCGAUGUUACUUUUUUGACUCGCUCGGCACCUUACGAGAAAUCAAAGU
rnacentral:rRNA from 1 species